rnacentral:lncRNA from 1 species
GACAGUCAUAGAAAUCGUCUUACUACAAAUUUCUACAAAGUCCUACAAAGUCCGGAAUCAUACAUGUAUAUAAUGAAAUCAUAAAAUAACAUGAAUCCUACAAAGUCCGGAAUAUUUCUACGAAUUUCUACGAAUUUCUACGAAUUUCCACGUGCGGUGCCUAGGUUGUGACGGCGGCGAUCAGGGUGGCGGAGGCGGGGACGGUUCCCUGGAACCACGGGCGGUGCCUAGGUUGUGACGGCGGCGGUCAGGGCGGCGGAGGCGGGGACGGUUCCCCGGAACCACGGGCGGUGCCUACUAGGUUGUGACGGGCGGCGGGACGGCGGCGGUCACGGCGGCGGGACGGCGAAGGGGACGGCGGUGCCUACUACAAAUUUCUAACUUUAUUUUCUAACUUAAAAAUCUAACUUAACAAACUAACUAAAAAAUCUAACUUAAAAAUAUAACUUAAUUUUCUAACUUAACAAUCAAAAUUAAAAAUCUAUCAUAAAAAUAUAACUUAAUUUUCUAACUUAAAAAAAAAAGCCCUCCCGGCGCUGCCGGCCGGCGCGGCGGCGGACCUCUCGCGCGCGGUCGUCGA